rnacentral:rRNA from 1 species
CCUCUUGGGCUCUGCGCCCAUUGGGAAAUGUAGCGUUAAGGAGUGUCCGUUAACACGGCGCGUCGCAGCUAGCUCAAGUCCAACUUGAACGGGGCAACACAGAGGGUGCUAUUCCCGUAUAGCAGUGGCGUGUGUCGUGUGGGCAUCUCCUCAGAGUCGGUCUGCUUGGGAAUGCAGACCUAAGUGGGUGGUAAACUCCAUCUAAGGCUAAAUAUGACCACGAGACCGAUAGCACACAAGUACCGUGAGGGAAAGGUGAAAAGAACUUUGAAAAGAGAGUUCAAGAGUACGUGAAACUGAGCUGAUGUAAGCGGACAGGCUCGAAAAGUGCGAACAGAGUUGAUUCAUGUCGACCCCUGAGGCAGGCUGGGUCUGAGACGGAUUUGAUACGCUUGCGUCCCUCGUUUUCGCUCUUUCCUGGUCUCCGUCCGAGGGGGGAGGCUGCACUUCUACUUAGUAGCACGUCGCAGCUCGUUGGGUGGUCGUUCUAAGGCCCGCGGUGGAGCCUUUGCCUUUGGCGGAGACCCGUGGUGUCCCGAUCGGCUCCCGACGGUGUGUGUACGGACAAGGCCGCAUCGCCUGGACCCUCUAAGUGCGGAGGUGGCUGAAGGGCUGGUCUUGUCGGUCUGCGGCGCUUCUGCUUUCGAAACCUGACCGUCCCGUCUUGAAACACGGACCAAGGAGCUUAGCAUGUGCGCGAGUCAUUGGGUGUUAAACCUAAAGGCGAAAUGAAAGUGAAGACCUUCGGGUUUUUGGGGCGAUGGUCGCGCUAACCAUGCCGACCCGCAACCCCGGGGCACCAGAUCCCUCCGGGACUGGUGCACCUUGAGCGUACAUGUUGAUACCCGAAAGAUGGUGAACUAUGCCUGGCCAGGUUGAAGCCAGGGGAAACCCUGGUGGAGGACCGUAGCGAUUCUGACGUGCAAAUCGAUCGUCAGAGCUGGGUAUAGGGGCGAAAGACUAAUCGAACCAUCUAGUAGCUGGUUCCCUCUGAAGUUUCCCUCAGGAUAGCUGGCAUUCGCUAAUCAAUCUCAUCCGGUAAAGCGAAUGAUUAGAGGCCUUGGGGCCGAAACGACCUCAACCUAUUCUCAAACUUUAAAUGGGUGAGAACUCUGGCUUGCUUGAUUGAAGCUGCGAGUUCCACGGAUUGAAGAGUGCCUAGAUGNNCCANUUUUGGUAAGCAGAAGGGUCUGUGGGAUGAACCAAACGCAGAGUUAAAGCGCCAAAGACGACGCUGAUGGGAAACCAGAAAAGGCGUUGGUUGCUGAAGACAGCAGGACGGUGGCCAUGGAAGUUGGAACCCGCUAAGGAGWGUGUAACAACUCACCUGCCGAAGCAACUAGCCCUGAAAAUGGAUGGCGCUGAAGCGUCUCGCUUAUACUCUGCCGUCAGUGCAUAUGGCCCCUCGGGGUUCUUGAAGCAUUGAUGAUUAAGAGGGUCACGUGGGUGUGCGCAGAAGGGUCUGGGCGUGAGCCUGCCUGGAGCCGCCCAUGGUGCAGAUCUUGGUGGUAGUAGCAAAUACUCGAAAAGAGACCCUUGGAGGACCGAUGAGGAGCAGGGCUCCGGGACAACAGUGCUUGUUCCUGAGACAGUCGAUCCUAAGCCUAAAGGGAGACCUUUAUGAUGGCCGAGCCUGCGGGCUCCCAUCGGGCGAAAGGGAAUCCGGUAACCAUUCCGGAACCUGAGUUGGAACCGUAUCUCAGGUCUUCGUACUUGUCACGGUGACGUGAAUUGCCCCAGAGACGCCCUCGGGUGCUGCCGGGAGAGUUAUCUUUUCUCUUUGAGCUUGCGGGGUCCAUGGAAUUCUUUCGCAGAGAGAUAUGGACUAUGCGUAGCGAAGAGCAUCGCACUUGCGGCGGUGUCGGCAGUUACUCCUGGGACCCGAAUUUCUGGGUGAGGGCCACGAGUGCAUCCGAUUCUGAUCGUACCCAUUCCGCAUCAGUCUC